AAAAGAUGGUCGUGGGGCAGCCGGGCUGGUCCGCUCCUCCGUUAGCGUAGAAGUCGAUGUGACCCAGAGGUUCUCUGAAGCCCAGGCCUGCCACGUCUACGAACUGGGCGUCCGUGGGGUCCAGGCGGUCCCCUGGAGGCGUGCCGGUGAACUGAGGCCCAGCUGGAUCCAGAGCUGCAAACAUCACACCACACUUGUAGUUUAAUCUCAAUCCCAGACGUGAGGUUAUCAUAUCUGGUUUACGGUUAUAUGAGUGAACUCCAGACGUGCUGACGUGGAUGUCUGUGCAGAGGAUAAUCUCUGAUGGACCCGAGCUCCUCAGCCAGGUGCCCACAACUACAAUGUGUAUUACCUGUAGCAGGAGAUAAUUUAAAUAAGUUAUGUAACUAAAUAAAUACGUGCAGCAUUUAUUCUACUGAUGUAGACGUCCACUUAGAAAGUGUAUUUGUCUAAUUAGUAGUCAAAAUAUGGAUGUAAGACACAAUCAGUCUUUUCAAUGGGAUAUAGAGACCUUUCUUUAUAGACAAUGCAUCUUAAAUAUACUGUUUAUAUACUUUUAAGCAUGACAGGCUAAUUGUGACACAAAUCACUUCCUAAUAGCGACAUAUAAGGUUUUCAGAUCCAAUCUUUUAAAUCUCUUGAACUGUUGACAUGUUUUGGUCCCUGUUUUUGUCAACUUGUUUUAAUUUACUACUGAACUGAACUUUGUGACACUUUGUCUGUCAUAAGUGAAAAAAUAAUAAACUUUACUUACUUA